AUGGCAGUCCCAAAUCCCGUCUCUUUACCGCGGAUUAUCGCAUCGUGCUGUUCUUCACUUUUUCUUCUGGAGUUGAGGGUUUCCAGAGUUUUUCUUUUCUUUUCACGAAACAGGAUUCAGGGUUCUUCAUGGAAGCCGCAAAUCCCGUCUCUUUACCGCGGAUUAUCGCAUCCUACCCCGUUCUUCACUUUUUCUUCUGGAGUUGAGGGUUUCCAGUUUUUCUUUUUCUUUUCUCGAAACAGGAUUCAGCGUUCUUCAUGGACGUCGCAAAUCUCGUCUCUUUACCGCGGAUCGCGCGCUUGUGAUCCUACUAUUCUUCACUUUUUCUUCCGGAGUUGA
rnacentral:rRNA from 1 species